AGGAAGUGAAUUUGAACUUUGAACCUCACCUAGUUUGAAUCCUACCUCUAUUGUUUUCUAUCUCUAUGACUUAGGUGUUGAAGUUCCUGGGAGAGGGCAACUUUAAUUUAUAAAGAGUCGUUAACAUUCACUUCCUCUAACAAAAGCCUUUAAAGAAUGACAACUUGGUGAAAAAAACCCUGUGGUAUAUACCAAAUACCAAGAUAUGCAUCCUCUGCCCAUCCUCAUUUGUGUAUUCCCACUCAUCCCAUCAUAAUUAGAUUCUGCCACUUUUCUCCUCAGCCCUGUAACAGUCUCAUGUCUACUCACUUCCCAUCUCUUCCCCAUCUUUUAGUCUCAAAUACAGUUCAUACAUACGGAACGUCACCUGAAUGAUGUUCAUUACUGAUGGCUGCUUGCUUUCUUAAGAAUGCUUAAAAGAUGCAGUGUUGGAAGAGAAAACUGUCACCACCUGCUGACUUGUGCCCAAAGUCUCAGAGGCUGAAACUUCUGCUUUCAUAAAUGGGGAGGCCCAGCACAGAAGUGAAAUGAAAAAGUGCCA